CCUACGGGGGGCUGCAGUGGGGAAUAUUGGACAAUGGGCGCAAGCCUGAUCCAGCAAUGCCGCGUGUGUGAAGAAGGCCUGCGGGUUGUAAAGCACUUUCAGUGGGGAGGAAGGCCUCGAUAUUAAUACUAUUGAGGAUUGACGUUACCCACAGAAGAAGCACCGGCUAACUCUGUGCCAGCAGCCGCGGUAAUACAGAGGGUGCAUACGUUACUCGAAAUUACUGGGCGUAAAGGGUGAGGUGAGAUGUGAAAGCCCCGGGCUCAACCUUGGAAUUGCAUUUGAUACUGAGUAACUUGAGUAUGGUAGAGGGAAGUGGAAUUUCCAGUGUAGCGGUGAAAUGCGUAGAUAUUGGAAGGAACAUCAGUGGCGAAGGCGACUUCCUGGACCAUUACUGACACUGAGGCACGAAAGCGUGGGGAGCGAACAGGAUUAGAUACCCUUGUAGUC
rnacentral:rRNA from 1 species